GGGGUUAUAGUUCAGUGGUAGAACGUUUGGAUGGCAUUCAAAAUGUCGACAGUUCGAUUCUGUCUAACUCCA
rnacentral:tRNA from 1 species